rnacentral:lncRNA from 1 species
CAAAACACUGCCCCAUCCAUACACUUACCCUACGCACUCCGUGUUUCACUCGAGAACCAGCCAUUAUUAACCAUGCUAUAUUUGUCAAUCAUUACCUUACUAUAUAUAAGCUUUUAAGGUUGUUGGAAGCUGUUGGUUGUCUUGUUUUCCCUUUUUCUCCUCUGUCCAGAAGACUCUCUCUCCUCCCCUCCUCUCCAACGUUCACCUCCACCAAGC